GGGUGCUCGCUGCAGCAGAAUCUAUACACUGAAAUUAGAACAAUACAGAGAAGAUUAGCAUGGCCUCUGUGCAAGGAUUGCAUGCAUAUUCGUAAAGCAUUCCCUAUUUUA
ensembl:snRNA U6 U6 spliceosomal RNA